rnacentral:rRNA from 1 species
CAACCUGCCCUGUACUGUGGAAUAAUCAUUGGAAACGAUGACUAAUACCGCAUGUGGUCCUCGGAAGGCAUCUUCUGAGGAAGAAAGGAUUUAUUCGGUACAGGAUGGGCCCGCAUCUGAUUAGCUAGUUGGUGAGAUAACAGCCCACCAAGGCGACGAUCAGUAGCCGACCUGAGAGGGUGAUCGGCCACAUUGGGACUGAGACACGGCCCAA